GACGAGCGCUGGCGGCGUGCUUAACACAUGCAAGUCGAACGGUAAGGCCCUUCGGGGUACACGAGUGGCGAACGGGUGAGUAACACGUGGGUGAUCUGCCCUGCACUUCGGGAUAAGCCUGGGAAACUGGGUCUAAUACCGGAUAGGACCCUGGGAUGCAUGUCCUGGGGUGGCAAGCUUUUGCGGUGUGGGAUGGGCGCGCGGCCUAUCAGGUUUGUGGUGGGGUGAUGGCCUACCAAGGCGACGAUCUGUAGCUGGUCUGAGAGGACUACCGGCCACACUGGAACGUGGACUCAGACGAGGCUCCUACGGGGAGGAGAAGUGGGGAAUUUGGAAAAGUGACCGCGAGCCUGAUCCAACCAGGCCGAGUGCGGGAAGAAGGCGGUCGGGUUCUAAACCGCUUUUGUCAGGGAAGAAACGGCGAGUCUUCAUACCAUUUGCUAAUGACGGUACCUGAAGAAUAAGCACCGGCUAAC
rnacentral:rRNA from 1 species